CAAGCAGAGAAGAUAAGGAAAGACUCAACAGAUCCGAGGAGUCAAUGUCAUUAGAGGGCUGAUGUGGUGACUUCUCCCCCGAAGGACAUGGCCUAGCAACAGGUGGGAAGGUGAUGUGGGAGGAAAGCGGGGAGUUUAGGGAAAGGCAAGGGCAAAAGAGCGUUUGUGAAUGACACAAACUUUAGAAACUACAAAGGAGGGAGGUUCAGCCUCACAGCCUCUUGUGGCUGAGGGAAAGCAGUGGAGCUGAAGAUGCAGGAGACGCGUUCACAGGAGAUGGGCUCCAGGCUCAGCCUUGCCGCUUGCUUUACAGAAGGAGAGACUGGGAAGAUCUGUCCCCUUGUGCAGAGGCAGCAUGCAAGCACACGAGCCCAAACCCCAUGAGGAGCUCCUGCUGCAACUGGGGGCAGUUUCUUCAUAAAAGAUGCGGAGCCAAAGUCUUAUCGGGAAAGAAGUAAAGAAAGGCCACGUGACUUCUCCAGUGUCACUUCCACUUCAGCCCACUGGCCCUGCCAGUCCUUGGAGAGGCCAGGCUCAGCCCUGCCCUAGGGCCUCUGCACUGGUCUUUCCCUCUGCCCAAGAUGCCCUUUGCUCAGAAGUCUAUGUGGCUACGUCCUUACCUCCUUUAAGGCUUUGUUCAAGUCUUCCUACUGAUGCCUGCCCUGACCACUGCCCUCCCCAAGGCCUCCAGUCCCCUGAAACCUGCUCUGCCCUCUCCCAUGGCACCAAUUCCCUCUGAUAGCCCAUAUAAUUCUGUUAUUUAUUAUGGGCAUUGUCUGUCCCCCACUUCUUUGACUUAUGAAGACAAAGGUCAUUCUUUUGUCCACUGAGGGGUUCUGAGCACUAGAAAUGAUGCUUGGUGCACAGUAGGCACUCAAUAAGUAUUUGUCUGAUAAGCGAAUGAAUGAAUGAAUGAGUGAAUGAGCAGUGGCUAUCAGGUUACUUCAGAUACAAGGAUGGAGCACCCAGGGGUUCUUCACAAAGAUGGGGUGCCCAGCGGGUUGCCCCUCACUUUCCACAGCAGGAAGCCUGGCCCUGCAUUGAUGCGAGUCCCCUAGAGGUGCCCAGUUUCAGUUCCACCGAGGGAGGUGUGCCACCAGGGCCAAGUAAUGCCAUCACAGACAUUGAGUUGGAGAGGGAAGACCCACCAGCUGCUCACAGUACAACUGCCAGGAGAGAGAGGGCUGGAGGGACGAAAGGAGAUAUUACAUCUUACUCUAUUUUAUUUUGAAUUGCUGGGAUUUUAGCAUUUAACAAAUAUUACUUUUUUGAUAAAAUAAUUCACAAUUUAUUUAUAUAAACAAUUUUAACUUCAGAUCUACUGCCUAGUAACCCCCUUGCAGGAAAUUGAUGUUUACUCUAACCAGUGACAUGUUUUGCAGUGCUUUCUUAAGGUGAAAUUCACAUUUCAAACCCUUUAGAGCCUGUAGCACAACUGCUGACAAAAAGAACCCAACUGGCUCUUUUCUUGCCUUCUAUCCUCUGUGACUGGCAUCUGCUUCCACUUAGAUUUGACAUAGCACCAUUGCUUCCCCAACUCAUCCUCAAGAAACCCAGGGGAAGCAGUGCUAAGAUUAUGGGCUUAUUGGAAAGCAAUCUACCCUGAUUAUACCCUUAGCCAGGCUGACAUUCAGCUAUAAAUACCCACGUUGCCAAAUGGAUUAUAAAACACCACUACAAUUCUGUAUUCAUAGGUACCUUGCUGCAGCUUCUAAGCCCUCCAGAUUCCUCCACCACCCGCCCUGCCCUCCCUAUCCUCCCAUGACCCAGCCACUGAAGGGAGAACAGGGCCCAGCAGGGAUGGCUUUUAGGACAGCAUCCGCCUGUUCUGACGGGUCAGCGCCCAUGCCGGGCUGGUUGUUCGAUAGUUUGAAUAGCCCUCUGCCCAUUUAACCUCCCUUUUCUUCUAAUGUUCAGAGCUCUUUAGUCUCAUACCUUUUCUCUCUUUCAACCACACCACU
rnacentral:lncRNA from 10 species